rnacentral:rRNA from 1 species
AUUGAACGCUGGCGGCAUGCUUUACACAUGCAAGUCGAACGGUAACAGGCCUUCGGGUGCUGACGAGUGGCGCACGGGUGAGUAAUGCAUCGGAACGUACCCAGAGGUGGGGGAUAACGCAGCGAAAGCUGUGCUAAUACCGCAUGUGAUCUGAGGAUGAAAGCGGGGGACCGAGCAGCAAUGUUUGGCCUCGCGCCUUUGGAGCGGCCGAUGUCGGAUUAGCUAGUUGGUGGGGUAAAGGCCUACCAAGGCGACGAUCCGUAGCUGGUCUGAGAGGACGACCAGCCACACUGGGACUGAGACACGGCCCAGACUCCUACGGGAGGCAGCAGUGGGGAAUUUUGGACAAUGGGCGCAAGCCUGAUCCAGCAAUGCCGCGUGCGGGAAGAAGGCCUUCGGGUUGUAAACCGCUUUUGGCAGGAACGAAACGGUGUCCGCUAAUACCGGGCGAUAAUGACGGUACCUGCAGAAUAAGCACCGGCUAACUACGUG